rnacentral:rRNA from 1 species
GACAGAGGGGGCAAGCGUUGCUCGGAAUCACUGGGCGUAAAGGGCGCGUAGGCGGGGGGGCAAGUCAGUCGUGAAAUCCUUCGGCUCAACCGAAGAAUGUCGGCUGAUACUGCCUCUCUUGAGGGAUGCAGAGGAGACUGGAAUUCCCGGUGUAGCGGUGAAAUGUGUAGAGAUCGGGAGGAACACUGGUGGCGAAGGCGGGUCUCUGGGCAUCUCCUGACGCUGAGGCGCGAAAGCGUGGGGAGCAAACGGG